UGGAGGUAGUAGAGCUGGUGGUAGUGAUGGAGGUGAUGGAGGUGGCUGUGGUGGUGGUGGUGAUAGUGAUGGGGGUGAUGUUGGUAAUGAUGGUAUUGGUGGUGAUGGAGGUGAUGGUGGAGGUAGAUAAUGGAGGUGGUAAUUGUGAUGGUGGUGGCGAUGGAGGUGGUAGUGGUGGUGAUGAUAAUGAUGGUAGCCAUGGAGGUGAUGGUGGUGGUAGAGAUGGUGGAGGUGGUGAUGGUGUUGGGAGUUUAUC
rnacentral:lncRNA from 1 species